GAAGAAGAAGAGCAUCUCAUUCUCCUCAUAAAGUUUCAAAAGCAAGGAAGGUAUGUAUCCCCUCAAAAGAGCAAAAGUAGAAUUAGACUUCCACCACCAUUGUUUUCACCAUUGUUAUCACCAUCAUCACCAUACACCAUUCAUUCGCCACACAUGCACAUCUUGAUUUGGCUUAUUGAUUUGUUUCUUUGGAUCCAUGAUUUGACUAUGCAAUAAAUGUCUUGUAAGUAUGUAUACUUUAUCUCCCACCUAUGAGCUCCAGAUAUUAAAGCCUUAUUAGAGUAGGGUGAGAGAGAAGGCAAUGUCACUAUGCCUCAUACCACAAAUACUACAUAUCUUGAGAGAAGGCAUAUACCAUCAAUGCCUUGGUAAGGAUCUAAAAAUACCACAAAAGAGAGACCUGAGAGAAUCAUACAAGGAAUUUCUGAGUUUUAUUUGAAAAUCUGCAAAAAAACCCCAGAGCUAUAGCUGAUCAAGAAUAAGAGACAUGGCACUUGGCUAGACUGUUCUAUCUUUUAACCACUCAAGACAGAAGUGACAGUUACAAGUCCCAUGGUGAAGGUAAAGUAAGUAAGUUUUGAGUCUUGACAGUUUACUCUAACUCAGA
rnacentral:lncRNA from 1 species